rnacentral:rRNA from 1 species
AUUGAACGCUGGCGGCAGGCCUAACACAUGCAAGUCGAGCGGAGGAAGGGAGCUUGCUCCUGGAUUCAGCGGCGGACGGGUGAGGAAUGCCUAGGAAUCUGCCUGGUAGUGGGGGAUAACGUCCGGAAACGGGCGCUAAUACCGCAUACGUCCUGAGGGAGAAAGUGGGGGAUCUUCGGACCUCACGCUAUCAGAUGAGCCUAGGUCGGAUUAGCUAGUUGGUGGGGUAAAGGCCUACCAAGGCGACGAUCCGUAACUGGUCUGAGAGGAUGAUCAGUCACACUGGAACUGAGACGCGGUCCAGACUCCUACGGGAGGCAGCAGUGGGGAAUAUUGGACAAUGGGCGAAAGCCUGAUCCAGCCAUGCCGCGUGUGUGAAGAAGGUCUUCGGAUUGUAAAGCACUUUAAGUUGGGAGGAAGGGCAGUAAGUUAAUACCUUGCUGUUUUGACGUUACCAACAGAAUAAGCACCGGCUAACUUCGUG